UACGGAGGAUCCGAGCGUUAUCCGGAUUUAUUGGGUUUAAAGGGUGCGCAGGCGGGAGAUUAAGUCGGCGGUGAAAUUUUGCAGCUUAACUGUAAAAGUGCCAUCGAUACUGGUUUCCUUGAGUGUAGAUGAAGUAGGCGGAAUUUGUGGUGUAGCGGUGAAAUGCAUAGAUAUCACGAGGAACUCCGAUUGCGCAGGCAGCUUACUAAACUACUACUGACGCUCAGGCACGAAGGCGUGGGGAUCAAACAGGAUUAGAUACCCU
rnacentral:rRNA from 1 species